AUUGAACGCUGGCGGCAGGCCUAACACAUGCAAGUCGAACGAGUGGCGGACGGGUGAGUAAUGUCUGGGAAACUGCCUGAUGGCGGGGGAUAACUACUGGAAACGGUAGCUAAUACCGCAUACCAUCGGAUGUACCCAGAUGGGAUUAGCUAGUAGGUGGGGUAACGGCUCACCUAGGCGACGAUCCCUAGCUGGUCUGAGAGGAUGACCAGCCACACUGGAACUGAGACACGGCCCAGACUCCUACGGGAGGCAGCAGUGGGGAAUAUUGCACAAUGGGCGCAAGCCUGAUGCAGCCAUGCCGCGUGUAUGAAGAAGGCCUUCGGGUUGUAAAGUACUUUCAGUCGGGAGGCGUUACCGGCAGAAGAAGCACCGGCUAACUCCGUGCCAGCAGCCGCGGUAAUAC
rnacentral:rRNA from 1 species